CAUGGGACAACCUGCUGCCUUCCAGAUGACUGUGAUCCUUUGCUAAAUGACACCCUUCCAGCUACACAGUCAAAAGUUAACUCACUUCUUUGUCUGAAAAGAAAUUAUGGCAGCUUAAGUGCUUGGAGAUAAAGUCUGAAGAACUGAAGCACAGAAAAGACAGGGGCUUCAUUCCAUCUUUCUGCCCCAUAGUAAAUCAGGAGUAAGAGCAGACCCAGUAGAGACUCAUGGUCAACAACCUCCUGGGAAUGGAAAUGUGGAUUUGACAAUAGCAUCUGCUGUACAUGAAAGAUAAAGAUGGGUUUCAUGCAUGGCAUUAAGAAGAGGAAAGCA